rnacentral:rRNA from 1 species
GCGAACCCCAGGCAAGGGGGGCUACCCCCUGAAUU